rnacentral:rRNA from 1 species
UACGUAGGGGACGAGCGUUAUCCGGAAUUACUGGGCGUAAAGCGCACGCAAGCGGCUGGACAAGUCUGGCGUGAAAUCCUCUGGCUUAACCAGGGGCGGUCGCUGGAGACUGUUCGGCUUGAGGCGAUGAGAGGGGUGCAGAAUUCCCGGUGUAGUGGUGGAAUGCGUAGAUAUCAGGAGGAACACCAAUGGCGAAGGCAGGUCUCUGGGCAUUAACUGACGCUGGGGAGCGAAAGCAUGGGGAGCGAACAGG